GACGAACGCUGGCGGCGUGCUUAACACAUGCAAGUCGAGCGGAAAGGCCUCUUCGGGGGUACUCGAGCGGCGAACGGGUGAGUAACACGUGAGUAAUCUGCCUCUGGCUUCGGGAUAGCCACCGGAAACGGUGAUUAAUACCGGAUACGACACAUCACUGCAUGGUGCGUGUGUGGAAAGUUUUUUCGGCCAGGGAUGUGCUCGCGGCCUAUCAGCUUGUUGGUGGGGUAAUGGCCUACCAAGGCUUCGACGGGUAGCCGGCCUGAGAGGGUGACCGGCCACACUGGGACGGAGACACGGCCCAGACUCCUCCGGGGGGCAGCAGUGGGGAAUAUUGCACAAUGGACGCAAGCCUGAUGCAGCAACGCCGCGUGCGGGAUGACGGCCUUCGGGUUGUAAACCGCUUUUAGUAGGGAAGAAGCCUCUUGGGGUGACGGUACCUGCAGAAAAAGGACCGGCUAACUACGUGCCAGCAGCCGCGGUAAAAC
rnacentral:rRNA from 1 species